UUGGUGCUUCACCACUCGUGAGACAUGAGUCCUGCGUUGUAUAUUAGUAGUUCGUAAGGUAAGGUUCACAAUGCACCGAUACAUAAGCCCGAACUUGAGAGGUGAUUCGGUCCACACUUGGACUGAAGACACCCGCCCAGACUCUAACGGGAGGCCAGCAGUAGGGAAUCUUCGGCAAUGGAACGGAAGUCUACGAGCAACGCCGCGUGAGUGAAGAAGGUUUUCGAAUCGUAAAGCUCUGUGUUAGAGAAGAACGUUGGUAGGAGUGGAAAUCUACAAGUGACGGUAACUAACCAGAAAGGGACGGCUAACUACGUGCCAGCAGCCGCGGUAAUACGUAGGUCCCGAGCGUUGUCCGGAUUUAUUGGGCGUAAAGCGAGCGCAGGCGGUUCUUUAAGUCUGAAGUUAAAGGCAGUGGCUUAACCAUUGUACGCUUUGGAAACUGGAGGACUUGAGUGCAGAAGGGGAGAGUGGAAUUCCAUGUGUAGCGGUGAAAUGCGUAGAUAUAUGGAGGAACACCGGUGGCGAAAGCGGCUCUCUGGUCUGUAACUGACGCUGAGGCUCGAAAGCGUGGGGAGCAAACAGGAUUAGAUACCCUGGUAGUCCACGCCGUAAACGAUGAGUGCUAGGUGUUAGGCCCUUUCCGGGGCUUAGUGCCGCAGCUAACGCAUUAAGCACUCCGCCUGGGGAGUACGACCGCAAGGUUGAAACUCAAAGGAAUUGACGGGGGCCCGCACAAGCGGUGGAGCAUGUGGUUUAAUUCGAAGCAACGCGAAGAACCUUACCAGGUCUUGACAUCCUUCUGACCGGCCUAGAGAUAGGCUUUCUCUUCGGAGCAGAAGUGACAGGUGGUGCAUGGUUGUCGUCAGCUCGUGUCGUGAGAUGUUGGGUUAAGUCCCGCAACGAGCGCAACCCCUAUUGUUAGUUGCCAUCAUUAAGUUGGGCACUCUAGCGAGACUGCCGGUAAUAAACCGGAGGAAGGUGGGGAUGACGUCAAAUCAUCAUGCCCCUUAUGACCUGGGCUACACACGUGCUACAAUGGUUGGUACAACGAGUCGCAAGCCGGUGACGGCAAGCUAAUCUCUUAAAGCCAAUCUCAGUUCGGAUUGUAGGCUGCAACUCGCCUACAUGAAGUCGGAAUCGCUAGUAAUCGCGGAUCAGCACGCCGCGGUGAAUACGUUCCCGGGCCUUGUACACACCGCCCGUCACACCACGAGAGUUUGUAACACCCGAAGUCGGUGAGGUAACCUUUUAGGAGCCAGCCGCCUAAGGUUGGAAUAAA
rnacentral:rRNA from 1 species